UACGUAGGGGGCAAGCGUUGUCCGGAAUCAUUGGGCGUAAAGCGCGCGUAGGCGGCCCGGUAAGUCCGUUGUGAAAGUCAAAGGCUCAACCUUUGAAUGCCGAUGGAUACUGCCGGGCUAGAGUCCGGAAGAGGCGAGUGGAAUUCCUGGUGUAGCGGUGGAAUGCGCAGAUAUCAGGAGGAACACCGAUAGCGAAGGCAGCUCGCUGGGACGGUACUGACGCUGAGGCGCGAAGGCGUGGGGAGCGAACAGG
rnacentral:rRNA from 1 species